rnacentral:rRNA from 1 species
UACGAAGGGGGCUAGCGUUGCUCGGAAUCACUGGGCGUAAAGCGCACGUAGGCGGAUCUUUAAGUCAGGGGUGAAAUCCCAAGGCUCAACCUUGGAACUGCCUUUGAUACUGGGGAUCUCGAGUCCGGAAGAGGUGAGUGGAACUGCGAGUGUAGAGGUGAAAUUCGUAGAUAUUCGUAAGAACACCAGUGGCGAAGGCGGCUCUCUGGAACGGUACUGACGCUGAGACGCGAAAGCGUGGGGAGCGAACAGG